UGGGGAUAAGAUAAAAGGCCUUUCUCUAGACUGACAGAGCUCGGGCUUCCCAGGUGGCGCUAGUGGUAAAGAACCCGCCUGCCAAUGCAGGAGACAUAGACUGACAGAGAACUAACCUGCUGGCCAGGGUCCACUAGAAACAAAUUUGUUAGCUCCACCCUGAGGGUGGGAAGCUGGGGCCCAAGCUUUUCUCUUCUCUUGCAGCUACUUUCAUCAAUAUUUCCUCUGCAGCUGAACGGGCUGGGAGGCAACCUGCAAUGAGGCCCUGCUCAGAAGACGCCCACCUCUGCUGGACCUCCUGGCUCCUGGGAUUCAUCAGUCUCCUUCUCAUGUGUCCCUGUGUCUACUGGCAGAACACAAAGAAGAAAGGGUCCCUACCGUCACUGGCAUCUAGAGAGUCAUGGAGACGGAGGAGAUGUGCAAAGGCACAGUUUCCAGUCCUUUAGGCAUCUGCAGCACUGGGGCCAAGAGUCCUGGUGCACAUGGUUCUGAAGUUCAGGAUCCUGGAGCCCGUGUUCCCCUGCAGGGGAUCCGAGGAAGUCCUGUGUUGUUUCACGUGACCAAGAAGCAAGAAGCUGAACCAGAGGAGGUCUCGUGGGCCUUUGGCCCUGAGUCAAACUACAGUGUCUUGCUGCGAGUCCACCAUGGGGAAUACACUCCAACCUGGGUCAGCCUCCAGGACAAGUACCAGCAGAGGGUCCAUGUGCCCCACAUCCUGUCCCUGAAGAUUGAGAACCUGACCUGUGAGGACAGUGGACAGUACCGGGCUCGAGUCAGCUUCCCUGGAGGAUUAGAACUUACCCAGGUUUUCCUCCUCACUGUCUAUGAGCCCGUGCCCUCUCCCCAGAUUCUGGUGGGAUCAACAUCCAUCACACCAGACUGGUGCAACGUCACCCUGGAGUGCAGAGCCUCUGGGGCCACAGACGAUCUGAACGUGACCUGGGAGAACAAGGGCAUCCCCGGAGAAUGGGAGCAGAGAAGGACAUUAGAACCAGCUUCCAGCCCAUACAUUCUGGCUGUGAGUGUGCCAAGAGGCCAGCCCAAUGCCAGCCUCGUCUGUGUGGUCAGCAACCCGGUGGGAUAUAAAACUGCCUUCUUCAACCUUGGGGGAGUCUGCGUCCAUGAUUCAGCCAAUCUGGUCAUUGCUGAACUCUUGCCAGGCAUCCUUGGGGCAGUUGCGGCUGUGUUAUUGAUCCUCGGAGGUGGACUGUACCUUUGGAAGAUACGUAGGAAGAAGAUGGAGACUGGAAAAGGUGCAAGAUCACAAGAUGCUGAUGAUGAUAGCAUCCAGUAUGUAGAGCUGAGCCAGCAGAAAUCUCAAGAGAGCUCAAACAAGGUGAGAGCUGGGCUGUGUGCUCUCCCAGGUCUCUCACUGCCUGGCCUGAGUUUGUCAAAUCUUGUCACUGAUGUUUCUGUUCCUACUGCCUCUUUAACACUUUUCAGACAGUCAACAAUGUUAACUAAGAAAAUUUGCGCUUGGGACCAAUAUAAUGCUGGGCACUUAGGGGAAUUCAUAAGUAUUGCAUGUCAUCCACUGGUUCUUUUCUGA
ensembl:lncRNA